rnacentral:rRNA from 1 species
AUGAGGGGGAUAACUACUGGAAACGGUAGGCUAAUACCGCAUAACGUCGCAAGACCAAAGAGGGGGACCUUCGGGCCUCUUGCCAUCGGAUGUGCCCAGAUGGGAUUAGCUAGUAGGUGGGGUAAAGGCCCACCUAGGCGACGAUCCCUAGCUGGUCUGAGAGGAUGACCAGCCACACUGGAACUGAGACACGGUCCAGACUCCUACGGGAGGCAGCAUG